AUCAACCUACGGGGGGCAGCAGUGGGGAAUAUUGCGCAAUGGGCGAAAGCCUGACGCAGCGACGCCGCGUGAAGGAUGAAGGUCUUCGGAUCGUAAACCUCUGUCAGCAGGGAAGAACGGUCACUGUGCUAAUCAGCAGUGAAUUGACGGUACCUGCAAAGGAAGCACCGGCUAACUCCGUGCCAGCAGCCGCGGUAAUACGGAGGGUGCGCGCGUUAAUCGGAAUUACUAGGCGUAAAGCGCUCGUAGGCGGUAUGUCAAGUCAAGGGGGAACUCCCCGCGCUCAACGU
rnacentral:rRNA from 1 species